CCCGCUCAACCAUCAAGCUCUUCAUUCUGCAGGGCUAGCUCCGCCUCUUUCUACCUUCCUCCCUGUGGGUCAGCUGGUCUCCUUAAAGGUCUUUCACAGAAAAAAUGUAUAUCAGAAGAUGUACAACUCAAAGAAUCUAUUUCUAUGCAGCUUCAACCUGAAUAGCGGCUAUAUGAGUCUAUGGGGAGAGGAGAAAGGAACAUUCAUGCUAUCUUCAGUGAAAGACUAAAUAAAACCCGUUCCUGGAAUUCAAAGCAUGAAUUGAAGAGGGAAUAUGUGCAUUUACCAAAAAAAUAAAUAAAUCAGAAUGUCGAACCUA